GGGUACACAAGGGACGCCUCUUGUAACCCACGUGUCAUCUCCUCCGCUUCCAUCUCCCUCUCUUCUACGUUCCUCCAUUUUCUGCAAAAUCAAUCAUCAAUCAAAAGUGGUUCGAUGAACAAAACUAUGAAAUUGGAUGUGAAUCGAUAGAUUAAUAAAAGAGAAAAAAAAUAGUCUUUUCUCUUUCUUUUGCGAGAGAGAGAGAGAGGAACAGAGCUCUGAUAAUGGCGAACUUGGGCUUAACAGAGCUCUAACAGUUGACUCCUCUCCUCCAAUCGAGGAGGAAGAACCCAAAACACAGAGAUUCGACCCAGGCGCCAUUCCUCCGUUACGUCGUGAGAGAUGUCGCGAUCGUGUUUGCGUUGGCUGCUGGAGCUGCUUACCUCAACAAUUGGCUUGUUUGGCCUCUCUAUUGGUUUGCUCAAGGAACCAUGUUCUGGGCUCUCUUCGUUCUUGGCCUCUAUUCUUGUCCCUUACCAUGGCUGGAGAAUUAGCCACAGAACUCACCACCAGAACCAUGAACAUGUUGAGAACGACUAAUCUUGGCAUCCUGUCAAGACAGAGUCAAAGAAUGGAGCAUUGGGAGUUUUCUUGUGCCACGGAGUGGAGGAAGUCUUGUAUUUUUCUGUCUUGUUGUCUUGUAGCAUUGGGAGUAAGCUUGUAGUUUUCUGUCGUGGAGUAAGUCUUGUAGUUUUCUGUCUUGUUGUCUUGUAGCAUUGGGAGUAAGCUUGUAGUUUUCUGUCGUGGAGUAAGUCUUGUAGUUUUCAGUCACUUUUGAUUACACACAUAUUCUCUCAUUCUCAACCAACCAAGAUCAUCUUGUAGACAUGUUUUUCAUAAAAUGUUUAAUUUUUUUAAGAACUUUUAACUAAGAGACUUACAUUGGAGAUGAUAAAUAUUAAAAUCUCUUA